rnacentral:lncRNA from 1 species
UGUAUGCGGGUGUGUGAUUGGUUUUCUAAUGUGAAAAGUUGUUUAUUGAUGAAUUGUGAAUGUAGAUUUAUGAGUCCGAGCUUAUGUAUUUUUAAAGAACUUGAGGUUGGAAUAAAUUAGAAGAAUGAUGAGUUUUUGGCAUAAAAUAGGGUUUUGACUAGUAUAAUUUUAAGAUAAUGGUUUUGGAGAAAGUCUGCAGUUUUAGAAACUGUGUUAGGGCCAUUAAGGAGUAGUUUGGUAAGGAGCCGUCUAGUAAUGAGUCAUUUGAUGGUACGAGUUGUUUGGCAGGAACUAAGUUGUUGGGAAUCUCAUAUCUGGAGUUCCGAACAUUAGUUUUGGACGUUCUUUAGGUUGUUUGGGAGUUUUUGACCAUUUUAGAACGAUUGAUGAGAGUUUCCAAGCCGUUUCCCUUACCUAGUGAAUGCAUUGAGUUAUUAUGAAGAAAAUUAUGUUAUUGUGAGUUGUUGUUUCUAGAAUAUUAUAAAUGAUUUUAUGCUUGAAAUACUUUCAGUAAGUGAUGAUAAUGAUAAUUGUUACGAGGUGAUUAAUUGAGAUAUGCAUAUGUAUAAUUGUGGCGUAAUUCCAUUGAACUCUUUGGGAAAAUCUUCUGUGGAUGUUUUAAGUAGUGUAUGUAUUAUUGUAAGAGUUUAUUAUCGAGAGCUAUCAUGGGAUUCCAAUAACUGUCAAGUCUCGAGUAGAGAAGGAUAAGUUAUGUUGUGAGGAGUAGCAGAAGGUCAUGGUUAGGGGCCUAGUACCAUUGACAAAGAAGUUGUUUAAUAGACUAACCUUGUGUGAUAACUUUGAGUGAGUUAGCUGUUCCACCACAUAAGUGCAAGAUCCACCAUAGCUCGACAAUAAUACAUGUACCUAGAUGUUGAGUUUAGAUGUUUACGAUGUUUAGAUGUCGUGCUUAGUUUGAAAUGAAAAUAAAAUAUGUUACUUUGUGAAUGCUAUGUUUUAUUUUUUGAUAUUAACUUAUUCUUAUUGUAUUGUUUGUUUGCUUGUGUUGUAUGUAUAAAUGAUCACUUGAUUGAUGAAAAACAAAGAUAGAUGAUGUUUUUGCGAAGCAAACACUAGGCAAAGAUAGUGCAAAUGUAUAAAUAUUUUGGAUAGAUGUUUUCUUUCAGUAACUUUAAAAACCCAAAUUUGUAAAUAAUUUUUGAUUGAAAAUUAAUAUAUAAAUCUUGACUUUUAGUUAUAUUCAGAUAAAUGAUAUUUUAUACUUUUGGUAUAAAAUAUAGUUAAUGACUGAACUGAUGUUGUUAAUGAAUUUUAGAAUAAUAUAUAUAUAUAUAUAUAUAUAUAUAUAUAUAUAUAUAUAUAUAUAUAUAUAUAUAUAUAUAUGGACACGUGAAGAACCAAAUAGUGUAUAUAGCNNNNNNNNNNNNNNNNNNNNNNNNNNNNNNNNNNNNNNNNNNNNNNNNNNNNNNNNNNNNNNNNNNNNNNNNNNNNNNNNNNNNNNNNNNNNNNNNNNNNNNNNNNNNNNNNNNNNNNNNNNNNNNNNNNNNNNNNNNNNNNNNNNNNNNNNNNNNNNNNNNNNNNNNNNNNNNNNNNNNNNNNNNNNNNNNNNNNNNNNNNNNNNNNNNNNNNNNNNNNNNNNNNNNNNNNNNNNNNNNNNNNNNNNNNNNNNNNNNNNNNNNNNNNNNNNNNNNNNNNNNNNNNNNNNNNNNNNNNNNNNNNNNNNNNNNNNNNNNNNNNNNNNNNNNNNNNNNNNNNNNNNNNNNNNNNNNNNNNNNNNNNNNNNNNNNNNNNNNNNNNNNNNNNNNNNNNNNNNNNNNNNNNNNNNNNNNNNNNNNNNNNNNNNNNNNNNNNNNNNNNNNNNNNNNNNNNNNNNNNNNNNNNNNNNNNNNNNNNNNNNNNNNNNNNNNNNNNNNNNNNNNNNNNNNNNNNNNNNNNNNNNNNNNNNNNNNNNNNNNNNNNNNNNNNNNNNNNNNNNNNNNNNNNNNNNNNNNNNNNNNNNNNNNNNNNNNNNNNNNNNNNNNNNNNNNNNNNNNNNNNNNNNNNNNNNNNNNNNNNNNNNNNNNNNNNNNNNNNNNNNNNNNNNNNNNNNNNNNNNNNNNNNNNNNNNNNNNNNNNNNNNNNNNNNNNNNNNNNNNNNNNNNNNNNNNNNNNNNNNNNNNNNNNNNNNNNNNNNNNNNNNNNUUAAUAAUGAGUGUUUUUUUAGUUGGAGCUAGUGCAGAGAUGACAGAGAAAAUGUUUGAGUGUGAGAGAUGAAGGAGAAAGGGUUGAGAGGAAUGAAAGAGGUGAGUAAGGGUUUGGGGUUUCUUUUUUCAGUUUUGAGAAUGAAAAUUUUUAAAAUAAGGAAAGUGUUUGAUUUUUUUCAAUUGAAGCUAGAGUGUGGAUGACAGAGAAAAGGUUGGAGUGAAAGAGAUGAAAGAGGAAGAGUUGUGAGAGAUGAGAGAGGUGGGCAAGGGUUUGGAGGGUUUCUUUUUUUAUUUUUUUAAUUUUGAAAAUGAAAAUUAUUAAAAUAUCCUUAACCUUAAAACUUAAUUCAUGAUAUAUAAGGGUAUUUUUGUCUACUGAAAUCCGGUACACAUUGCUAAAAUGUACCAACUGAAAAACAGGCGUACGCAAGUUAGCAAACCCCAUAUAUAUAUAUAUAUUAUAUAUAUAUAUAUAUAUAUAUAUAUAUAUAUAUAUAUAUAUAUAUAUAAAACUUCUUUAUAAAAUUAUAGAUUUUCGUUUUUAUUUCUAAAUUUUUUUACCAAUUCUUUAAAUUUUACAAUAUCACAAACUUGUUAUUAUUAUUAAAAGAACUAAAAAUCCCUUAAUAACCUUUAGUCUUUAGUAACAUGAUAUUUUAUUAUUAAAAAAUUUAAAUUGACAAUAAACUAACUAUUAUUUAUAAAAGUAAUACAUAUUUUAAAAAACUAUAUAAACAUUUUUGAGGAUAUUUUAUUAACUGUAUAACUUAUUCAUUUUUAAGAUUCACAAUUUUUACGAUUUAAAAUUCCUAGAAUGUAAAAAACUUAUUGGUUACUAAUCUUCCCAUAACAUUAACAUUUACGAGAAGGAAGACUACAUUUACUUAAAAAAAAAAUAAAAAAAUCCUAAGAUGUUCGAAUAAGAAGAAUUAGGACGAAAAAUUUAGAAUAUGUAAAGUAUGUUAAAACAACUACAUUUUUAUUAUAAUUCCACUUAAAGAGCGAAAAAUGGUAUAAAACAUUUUCAAUUUUGCUUCUUUGUGUUCUCAAUUUAAAAAAUUUGCGUCAGUGAGCAUUUUUUAGUUUAGUUCACUGACUCAUAAUUGUUCAGUCUAUGGAGGAACUAAACUCUUGUUUCUUCAACCCUGCAAUUUUGGAUUCCCUAUCCGAGGAUUCUCUUCACGAAAUCAUCCGCAGCUACAAUGGCUUCUGCGACGCGACGCAAUCCCUUCUCACCGGCAACGGCGAUCUCUCCGUCGGUCCCGACUUCGUUUCUCACGUUCACGCCCUCUGCAAACACCGUCUCCAUUCCCUCGUUCAAGACCACUUUCUUCGAGUCCUCGAGGUACCCAACAAUUUAUUUCACCAACAGUGGUCUAAAGUUUGAAUAUUUAUCGACUAUUUUGGUUGCAGGAGACUUUUGAACGAAAUGGGGCAUCAAAAUUUUGGCGCCAUUUUGAUCCCUACUCUCAUGUUGCGGGUUUGAACAAGAAUGAUGAUCUUGAUGUUAGUGUGUUUUUAUCCUUACUUCACUUCUUUCUUUCUUUUUCUUUUUUCGUUGUGGUAGGUGUUUACUUCUGCUUUAUGAAUCGUUGAAACAGAUUGACGAGGAUGAAAUUCAGAGUGUGUUGUAUAAUGCUUUGGAAGAGGUUACUUUGGAGAAACAGUAUCAGGAGAAGUGUCUUUUGAUGUUGGUGCAUGGUUUGCAAUCUUACCAAGACCAGAUGUCAGAGGAUAAACAUGAUUUUGAAGGAGAAAGAAGUUACCUUACUUCUAAGUAUCAAUGGAUUGUCUCUUCUGUUCUGAUGGCCACACUUCCUCGGCAUUUCCCUGGUUUGUUUGCAGUUUGUUACUUUUUAAUAGGUUAACGAGGGUUUGUUUAAAUAAUCUGAUUGCUUUGGUUAUGAAAGCUUUUUCACUAAUUUCGUGUUUUUCACCAUAUGUAUUCUUUUACAUCAAAGUUUGAUAUGAUUAGCCCUAAUAUACUGAUUUACAUAGGUUAGUUCCUAAUGCAAUAUUUUGAGCUCUUGAUCUGUGGUCUGGGUCUUUUAAAGUGAUUAACUGAGUAUGAGUAAAUAAGUAAUCCCUGUCAUUGAUAAAAAAAAUAAUGGCCGAUGUUCCAAAUACAUCCAUGAUUGAAACUUGUUACUUUACCUUGUAAAAGUGAGUUACUCACUUUAGAGAAGCCACGUCCUUUUUUUGACGUUUGUUUUAGUUGCUUGAAAGCUCUGCUUAUUAAAAAUACAGUUACUGUGUUUCCUCUUCGUAUCAUUUUCUCCUAUUUGAUAUUUUUCAAGGAGCUUACUGCUUUCUUUCCUUCUUGCCUUGUAUGUUUUUUUUCCUGUUUGCAACUUUUAGUUAUACUGCAUUGGUAUUUUAAAAGAAAACUGGAGGAGUUAAGUACGAUCAUGGAUGAAGAGUUUUGUGAUGAUGCAUCUCAAAAUAAGGAUGGCAUGGAUUUAGAUGAAAAAGGAAAAAUAUGCAACAAGGUUGGUGAAAUGGAUGUUGAUGAGUGCUAUAACGACCAUAGGUUCUCGGAAAACAGCAGACUGGUGAAGAACAUUGGAAAGGUUGUUCUUGAUCUUAGAAAUCUUGGAUUUACUUCCAUGGCGGAGGAUGCUUAUGCUUCUGCUAUAUUUUUACUACUGAAGGUGAGGAUGUUUCUGAAAUUCAAAGUCCUGGCUUUUCCAGCUUUCUUGAAUCUCAUUUUACCAAUUUGGCUCUCACCAUUUUGUUUCACUUAUGUAUCUCUUUGUAAAUCUAACCUUUGGAUGGCAUUUGGCUUUCUCCUGUCUGAAUGGCAGGCAAAAGUAAAUGAUGUAGCUGGUGAUGAUUAUCGGAGUUCUGUUUUACAAUCUAUUAAAAGCUGGAUACAGGUUUAACUUCAUCCUAAUUAUGCUGUAAUUUUCAAUUGAUAUUUUAUAAUUACAUUGACACAUCAAUUUGACUCUAAUUACAUUAUAAAUGUGAAUUUUUGCAUCAGAUAGUAAUAAUUAAUAUUGUUGUAUAUUUCACCAUUCAGAUAACAUUUAGCUAUUUUUCAUUUUUAGAUGUGCGAAUUGAUAAAAGAGACUGGUCAAAGGAUGCCCAACCAGCAAAAAAAUUUCCAAUAUCCAGUCUUGUCAAAAUUUUAUGCCACAUACAAAACCAUGAUUUCUUUCCUCAUGAUAUAUACUAAAUUCUUUACAUAUAUACCAUACACGAUAUAUACUAAAUUCGUUACAUAUACCAUAUAUAUACGGAUUCAAUCAAAUAAGAUUUUAUUAUGAUGCUUUGCUUUGGCCAAUCAUUUGUUUUCACAACAACUUAAUUUACCCGCUUUACUAAAAUAUCAAUGUUCAUAUGUAUUUAAGUCUAGUAGAUAAAAAGUAACCGCAUAGUGCAUACGAGUUCCAAAGUCAUUAAUGAAAUAACUUAUUUUGAGACCCUAUUUAUAUAUUUCCUAAAGUUUGACUGUCACUGUACUUUAUAUAAAAUAUACUUUCUACCCAUAGUAGCCAAUUUAGGAAAAAUGUACACUCACAAUUGGUAUGCUGAUAAUUGGUAUCAUUCAGGCUGUUCCUCUCCAAUUUCUGCACGCACUUCUUGUCUAUCUUGGUGAUGUAGUUAGUUAUGAGAGUACAUCAUCAGGUUUGAAAUCACCUUUGGCACCACAACCAUCUUCAUGCUGUCCUGGAAUUAAUACUCCCUCUGAAGGGCUAGUGAGAUGGAAGUUGCGGCUGGAAUAUUUUGCAUAUGAAACACUGCAAGAUUUAAGAAUAGCUAAAUUAUUUGAGAUAAUUGUUGAUUAUCCUGAGAGGUACCUUAUUUAUAGUUCUUUUUAUUUCUUCUGGGUUUCUAUUAGAAAAUUAAUUGUCCUAUUUCUUUUUUCUUAAACAAAUUGAAUGGCUAGUUCAACACCGUUGCCUAAAACAUAUUUGUGGUUAUAGCUUCGAGUCAUAGCAGAGAGAUUGACAAUUGUUCUAGGAUUUAACAUUUUCUUUCAGAAAUGAAGUUGUUUCUGUUUCAGAAAUGAAUCUAGAAUUUAGAUUAUCAACUCUUUCUUCUUGUAGUUCCAUGCUUGCCUUGGUUUUGAAUAACUUUCAAGCUCCAACAUUUCGCACUUGUGCCAUUUGGCUUGUCUUAACUAAUUCGUUCUUUGCUGGAUCGUGGCUUGUUUGUUCAUGUCAUGUCUUCUGAUAAUUUAUUUUCUUUCUCUCUACUAAUUUUUGAAGCUCUCCUGCAAUUGAAGACUUAAAAUUGUGUCUUGAAUACACUGGACAACAUUCAAAGCUGGUGGAAUCGUUUAUUUCAGCACUGCGAUAUCGCUUGCUUACCGCAGGGGCAUCAACCAAUGAUAUAUUACACCAAUAUGUUUCAACAAUUAAAGCACUUAGGACAAUAGAUCCUGCAGGUGUUUUCCUUGAGGCAGUUGGUGAACCCAUAAGGGAUUAUUUAAGAGGAAGGAGGGAUACCAUAAAGUGCAUAGUAACAAUGCUGACAGAUGGAACUGGUGGAAAUUCAAGUUCCUCUGCGAAUCCUGGAGACAGCCUUCUUGAAGAGUUGAACAGAGACGAAGAAAUUCAAGAGAAUGCUGGUGUUGAUGAUGAUUUCAACAGUGAUGAUAGGCAAGCAUGGAUCAAUGCCAUGCGGUAUAUGUGUUCUGGAUGAUGAUCAGUUGCAUUUAAUUAUUUUAUGCCUUCCAUAUUAUAAAAUGACCUUUCUUUUAAUUGCCUUUUCCAAGCAGAUGGCAACCUGACCCUGUGGAAGCAGAUCCAUUAAAGGGAAGCAGAAACCAAAGGAAGGUUGACAUACUUGGGAUGAUUGUUGGCAUAAUUGGUUCAAAAGAUCAAUUAGUUCAUGAAUAUCGAACUAUGCUUGCUGAGAAACUUCUAAAUAAAUCAGAUUAUGAUAUUGAUUCUGAGAUACGUACUCUAGAACUCCUGAAGGUAUUUAUUCAAAUAAAAACUCAUGAAACCUGGUUGAUUGAUAGGUGUGGAAUUAAUAUUAUAUAUUAUUUCGUGUGUAUAUUCAUUCAUGUUUUCUAUUGCUAUCUAAACAUUUAUUAAUGCCUUUUGUUUUUGCAGAUACACUUUGGAGAGAGCAGCCUACAGAAAUGUGAGAUUAUGCUCAAUGAUCUAAUUGGCUCAAAGCGAACCAACAGUAACAUUAAAGCUACCAUAAAUCAGCUACCUCAGACAAGUAAUUUCCAAGUUCAUAUUUCCCAUGUUUGUGAUUAUUGUCUGCAACAAUUUUAACUAUUAUUUAUCUUUAAUUUCUUUUCACAAACAAAUUGGCGAUGCUCCCUCAGGUGUUGAAGUGGGAGACAGUGCAAUAUCCAUGGAUGUAAUUUCUGCUACUAUCAUAUCUUCUAAUUUCUGGCCUCCAAUACAGGUUUGUGUUCACAAUUAUUUUAUUGAUUCUUUUGAAUUUUAGUUAAUGAGCAGAUAAGUGAUUUAUCUAUGUCAUCACACGACAUCUAUUCCUCAAUAAGAUUUUGUAUUAUUUUUAGGCUCAGCAAUAAGGCUUUUUCUCUGAAGAAAGUGCCAAAACUUAUUGUUCAAUACAAUUUUUAUUAUUUUUUUACUAUAUAUGUACUCUUCACUUUCUAUGGGUACGAUUCAUUACUUCUUUCAAUUAAUUUCAUUUUAAGGAUCACUUCUGCUUGAGAUGCAGGAAUUAUGUUGGUCCCUUUGUUCCAUGAUGCCUUGACUUGUAAAUCAAAUCAGUUUUUUACAUAGUUUAUCCUCAUCUUAUCUUAAGCAAAUAAAAAAUGAUCAAACAUUCCUUUUUCUGUCCCCACCUUCCUGCUAUUAUCACUCUUUUUCGUUGUUGAAAUCAUUAUGCUGAGGCAAAUUUAUAUUCUCCAAACGAAAAUGUACUACUCACGUAUGUAACAAUUUUUGCAGCAAAUAUAUGAAUUUUUCUCUAAAAUGGUAAAUCAGAAAAUAAAGACACAUAAAUAAAAUCAGGUUUUAUAGUGUUGAUUUUCAAUCAGUUAACAAUUUCAAAUUUGUGAAAUAACGUUUCAGUUCUCUCGUGUAGAAAGUUCAGGUAACUUUGCCUAUCAUUUUUUGUUUUAUUGAGUUGUGUUAAGCUUGAAACGUAAACCAAGCACACUAUGAUGACAUAAUGUACCUGCUGAUAAAUAAAACAUAAUCUAGCCUUCCUCAACAUUAAAAGAAAAGACAAUCUAGAUUUUUUUAAUGAUUUCAUUAAAACUGCGUCUGUACUAUUUUAACUUUGAAGAGAUUUACAGGAUGAGCCACUUAACCUGCCUGAACCUGUUGACAACCUCCUAUCUGAUUAUGCAAAGAGAUUUAGUGAAAUAAAAACUCCUCGUAAGCUUCAGUGGAAAAAAAGUCUUGGCACCAUCAAGGUUAGUUGCUCUAUAUUUACCGUCUGUGGAUAGUUAAUACAGUUUUUGAACUUGAUGAAUAAUGAUGCCCCUUUCUUACCUUUUACUAUUUGCUCCAAAUAUUACCAUUUUCUAUGGUGCAGCUGGAGUUGCAGUUUCAAGAUAGGGAAAUGCAAUUCACAGUAGCCCCUGUUCACGCAUCUAUCAUUAUGAAAUUUCAAGAACAACCAAGGUAUCCUUAGCAAUCUUUGCAUACCUUUAGUCUGUUGUGUACUAGUAAUAUUAUAUUGUAUUUCUUUUUUCAGUUGGACUGCUAAAAACCUUGCAGCUGCUAUUGGGAUACCUGCAGAUGCUUUAAAUCGGAGAAUAAAUUUCUGGAUAAGCAAGGUGGGUCUGAUGGACCACUUCUGCAAAUUUUCUUGUUCUUCUUUUUGGUAUCACUACUUUGCAGCAUGAUUAUAUUUAGUUUGUGCGGAUGAAUAUUAUCUCUUUUGAGUUAACUAACUUACGAUGGUUUUUUCUUAACAAAAAGUACACUUUUUACUUUAACACUGAAGUUCAUUUACUUAUGAUGAUUAUAGUUUUUCGAUGACAUGACUUGCUGUUCAAAUGUGAACAAUUUAACGGCUGUGAAUUUUCUCUUUUAAAACCAUGAAGUCUGAAGUUUAGUAGUGAAGUUGAAACUAAAUACUCUUGCUGUCUUUUUUGUACCCAGGGGAUCAUUACAGAGUCGCAAGGGGAAGAUUCCUCUGACCAUGUAUACACCAUUGUGGAAAACAUGGCUGAGACAAGUAAGAAUGGAGCCAGUGCUGGCACCCAGGAUCUUCUAGGAGGUGACGAGGAGGAGGACAGAUCUGUGGCCUCUGUAGAAAAUCAACUUCUUAAGGAAAUGACUGUAUAUGAGGUAAGUGGGAUAAAGUGAUGGUCAUUUGAUAGUUAUGACUUACACUUGACUUUAACUAUCCAAUAAUUAGAAAAUUGACUGCCUAGACUUGAGAAUCUUUGCAAUGUAUGCUGUUUGAAUUUUAAUCUUGCAGGGAAAAUAUUUAAUGAAGAAACACUCUAGAGAAUGGAUGUUCCUUGAAUAAAUAAAUACAGUUCUUCUUCAUCAUCAGCUUGUUAUUCCUAGUUUUGCCACUAUGAAAAAAAAUACUUUUUGGCCAAAGACGGCUUCUGGAGUGCACAUACAUUUUCAUUUAUUCAUCUCGAGGCAUUUAAACACAAAGGAUGUGCAAUGCAUAGAUUAAGAUAUAUUUAACUGAUGAAGCUUCUUUGCAGAAAUUUAUCAUGGGGAUGCUCACAAACUUUGGUAGCAUGGCAUUAGAUCGAAUUCACAAUACUCUCAAGGUAAUAAUGGUUUUAACUUAUAACUCCUGAUAAAAAGAACAGUUUUACGCCUAUAUAAGUAUUUGCAUCUGUGAUCAGAUAGAUUUAAUUACAUGAUUGUAUUGCAGAUGUUUUGCAUUGCUGAUCCCCCAUAUGACAAAUCACUCCAGCAACUACAAAGCUUUUUAUCUGGUCUGGUCUCUGAGGAGAAGUUAGAACUUCGGGAUGGAAUGUACUUUCUAAAGAAGUAGUUUGAUUAAAGAGUUGAAAUGAAAUGCCUUUGGUCACGAGCAAAAGGGUAAAAUUUCUGCAUGUGUUUCCAGAACCUGAAUUUCAUGUAAUUAGUGUAUAUUUUAUUAACUGACUCCUAACCAUCCGUGUUUUUACUUAUAUGUUCAUUACCAUACAUAAUGUUCAUGAAUAACUUUAUAUUUGGAAUUUACUGAACCGACAGCUUGAGCUCCAUUCUUGGUGGCAUCUUUGUGUUGUCCUGAGGAAACUGCAUCCUUUUGGCAAGACUUUGUUUGCAGACUUAGCUAGUCAUAUGUGUCAGUUUUAUUUUGGUUAUGCAAUGGUGGCAGUACCAAUCUGAAGCAUUCAUCAAGUUGUUGGGAAAACACUAUCCAAGAUAUGCUAAAUAAUGCAAAUUCAAGUACACCAAUAUCAUCUUUGCCCCAGGAGAUGUGGAUUUGAAGACGUUAUUAGCUUUCAACAUAUGCUACUCCUUGGUUUGCAAACCUUUUUCCAAAGGCUUCCACCUUUGCGAUUAUCAUCUAUUCUGAACGAGUCACCUUCCGGUAUGUAAAUUUGUACUUUUUACUGCUAAUUUAAGUUUAGAUGAUAUUAUGAAUCGAAUAGGAAACAAUAUUUUAUAGUGUUUACAUCAAAUGUAAGUUAAUUCGUUUGGUACUUUUUUCAUAACUCAUUAGAUAGUAGAGUAAACCUGAGCAAAAUUGUAAGAUACUUAACGAAAAAUCACAUUAAAUCAAGUAGAUCAUUACCAUAACCACCUAGCUUAGUAAGUGUAUGUCUGAUACCCCCAAAUUAUUAAUUAAAAUCUUUUGAAUAGAAAAAAAUUGUAGUUGGGAUCAAAGUUAUCUGUUAGGAAUAUAGUUAUAGAUAAAAUAAAUUUUACUCAUUGAAAUAAAAAAUAUUACAAGUAAUAUUGUGUAGAUAAUAUUAUGAGUAAUUAUUUAAAUUUGAAUUUUUUUACUAAAGUGAUAAAAAAGUAAAUAAUUCUUUUAUAAUAAGUAAUUAUUUAAAUUAAAAAAGUAGUUAUCAAAAACAUAAAACUGAAAAAAAGUUUAUUUUUAUUUUUAUUAAGAAUAAUUAUUUAAAUUUAAAAAAUAAUAAUUAAAAAUUAAAAAGGUAAAAUUUGAAAAAAAAAGUGUAAUUUUUUUGUACAUAGUUAUAGAUAGCAACUUUUUUUUAAGUGUCGAAUAGACUUGGUUUAAUUCUUGAAACCACGGUUUCCGGAUUUAAAUUCCUAAAGACAAGCCAAUAAAGCAAAACAGACUAGAAGAGCGAUUCUUUACAAAAAUGGAUGGUGCUGACAAUAAUUUUGAGGUUAUUGCUUUCUGCAUCUCAUCAUUUUUAUCUUCCACCCCAUCCUUUAUUUUAAUUCCAUUCUUAUCCUUGUUUGGUAGUAUGCUUCGGAAAAACAUAAUCCAGAAAAGGAAGGGGUGAUAGAAUAGAUUGUUUCCGGAUAUCUUUACAAUGAUAGCAUCAGUAACAUAUUUAUUGAAUAUUGAUGUCGAUUACAAAGGGUAAACCGUUUCAGUCUGUUAUAUUUAAACCACGAAUAAAACAUUCUUAUUUUUUGAAAUGUUUUUUUUACCAAGGUUCCAAGCUGGUUUUAUUGCAGCUGAACUCACAGAAAAUAAGAUACUUGGGAUGGAUGCCUACAUAAUUUAAAGGAAAACAAAAUUAUUACAUGGUGAACUGCAUUAUAAUUAAUUUCGAUAAAUUACAAAAGAGAAGAGAAAUAAUACUAUUGAUAUUUAAUCGAAAACGUAGAGACUCUGUAUCAUUUUAAUUUAUUUAAAAUAUAAUUUAUAUCUACAUAUAUAUAAACACUUUAUUUUGUCGUGUACACAUUAUUUGUACUAUAUAUAAGAGGAUUCAUUUUUCUCUCUCUCAAUUUUAUCUUUUAAAUAACAAUUAUUUUUAACUAAAAUAAUUAUAUUUAUAUUUUUAAUCUAAAUUUGAUUAUAUUAUAAAUUAAAAUAAUUAUUUUAUUAUUUUAUUCUUUUAAUAAUUACUUUCUUAGAUGUAAAAAAUUAUUUGCAAUAAAAAACUAUUUAACAAUAACAAAUCAUGCAAAUUAUUUAUUUUUAUAAUUUAAUAAGUUUUUGCCAUAAUGAAAAGGUAAAUACACAUGAUGCACUUGUUUUCGUUAUUAGAAAAACAUUUCCAUAAGUAUAAAAUACGUAAAAAGAAAAAGAAAAAUCUCGUAAAAGUUAGCAUGUAUUAUACAAUAGGACUAAAAUAAGAUGAUUGUUUAAACACCUAAAAACAAUUUAAAUUUAUUUGAUAUUAUCUUUUUUAUUUUUUUACUUUUCUUCUUAAAAAAAAUAUAAAAAAUUAUAUUUUUAUAACUAUUUUAUCUUACACUUUAUAUCAAAUGAAUUAAAAAGUAUGUUAUCUUAUCGUUUCUUCUUAAAUAAACUUACAUUCCAUGUUAUUAAACUUGACAUUCUGAGAUGAAGAAUGAAAUCUCUUUUCCACCCACUUAAUAUGUAUAAAAGUAAUGAAUGCAAAAGGCAAAAGAAAAGUUUGGAAUCAUAAGGAUAAAAUAUAUAUAUAUCUUAAUUAAGCAUACCUCUCUGCAUGAAUCAUCCAUGCAUGUUUUCAGAGAACUUGUAUUCUGGAAUUGGAACAUGCCCAGACUCUAUUCUACUUACAUCUUCUAAAAGAAUUGCGUAGUGUCUCUUCACUUCCUCCACUGAUUUAUCACCGACUUCUUUCGCUAUAUUAUGCCACCGAUCUGGUCUCUCUUCACCAUACAAGACCAAUGCCUUCUCAAAUUGUUUGUUCUGCAGUCUUGUCCAAGAGGGAUAACGUUGUUCUUUGUUGUUCAUGUUCAAGGAAUUUGCAGCCAUUAAUUAGGGAGCUUCAACGUGUGAUUUCAUUCCAUUUGAAAGAGUACACAAUAAAGAAAUAUUAAAGUAUAUGUAUGCUACGAUUGUUGUUGCACUUAUCUUUUAUGGAGGGGAGUCAACAUUUACGUAAGUUGUGGCUUGAGUAUAGGGUCAGUCGUGGAUAACCUUGAAGAAACAAAUAUAAAUAGAUUGAACCACUGACAGAUAUCAAUUCUGUUAAUAUCCUUAUCUGAAUGACACCCAAUGAAUCUCACUGUUAUUAAUUUUAUUUAAUUUACAUCAGUUCUAUUUUUAAGUAUGAUAUAAUCCAUACGUGGAUGAAUAUUGUUUCUAAGUAAACAUUAAUUAGAAAAUAUAUAUAUGUGAUUUUGAUAACAAAGGAGAUGAGCUAUAACAUAAGUUAUAUAUUCAUGACUUUAUAUAUGAUAUAAUAUAUAUAACAGAUUAAUAAUCUGAUAGAUAUAAAUGAAACUUGAAAAUUGCAAAACUAAUUAAGAGAAACACAAGUUUAGACUGAAUGAAGAACAAGAAAAGAGUGAAAAACAGCACAGAGAAAUGAUCAAUGUGGAGGGCAAAAUGUAAUGACAUAGCGAGGUGCGACACAAGUCUUGAGGACUGAAUCAUCAAAAGCAUAGCUAUAAGCAUUAGGGCAAACGGUCUUGAAGAGACGAGCAAACACAGUUGGCUUGCAUCUUCCAGCAAACUCACCAGUGCAGCAAUACCUAUCUGACUUUGCUGCCAAACAAGCACUCUUGCAUCCCACAACCUUCCCAUUCCUCUCCACAACCAAAGCUGAAGGGCAAUAAACGUUCAAGUUAGCUUCACAGCCAGCAACACCACAACCUGCACCACUACCACUCACUGGCUUCAUUGACACAGGAAGGUUAAACCCAUCAACCAAACUAACAUCAUAGAAAUGCAAAGCUGAUUUUGAGGUUCCAAGGGUCAUUUCUACUAGGGUUGCAGGAGGGACUCCACCGAUACCAUUGCAUUGCAAUAGCCCUCCACAAUCUCCUGUUUGGCAAUAACCUUUGCCUGUUUCUUGGUCCAAGUAACACCCUUGUCUGCCCCAGAUUCUCCCUGACCAACCCUCAGGGACAUGCACAACAACCUCUUCGCCGCUUCCAAGAUAAAACCCGCCAUGUUUUGGUGAAGGGUGUCCUCCAUUGCCGAGAAUUGCGGGCCAUACACUUUCUUUGCAGUUGUUCGCCACUAUGAGUUCUGUUCCAUCUGUUUCACAUGACACCAGAAAUUAUUCAGAGUAAAACUAUUAUAAACGUUAAUACCACAAAUGAAGAGUACAAACAUUAACAUUCAAGGGAAUAGCUAAUCAUGAAAACAAAAAUGAUAUUAAAUGGAUUGUGAAAGGGAAGAAAAUCAGAACCGGUGUCGGAGAUGAAGACUAGAAUGCAGAAGAAAAGGAAGUAAUGUGAGGAAGAAGGCAUUGAGUUUAGGAAAGUGGAACCGUUUCUGCUCCUUCCUUGUUCAACUGUGUUGUGUUUCAUUUCAUGGUGCUGCUGAGAAGGAAAAAGCUAUGUGGAGGUUCCUUGUUUUUAGCCAUUUUCUAAUCAUGUUUCAAAACUGUUUCCCACCACUUUCACCUCUUAUUCUCUCUUGAGAAUUAAUAGAUUUUUAAUUAGAUGUGAAAAAGAAAAUUAUGUUAGUAGUUUAUUUCCAGAAAACCAUGAAGAUAACUAAAAUCUUUUUUUUUUUUUAAAUAUAGGUUAAUCAACCACUACAAUUAAUUGGAUAUAUUUCUAUUCUUUCUCAUACUAAAAAUAAUGAAAUAUAUUAUUUCACACAUAUAAAUCUUUUACAUUUUUUUAUACUAUUCCUUUCUACUUUUUAUUUUUUCUUUUUUAAAAAAAUACAAACUUUUAUGAUAUUUUACUAUUAUAUUUACAAUUACAUAAAAAUAACUCUUUUUUUAUACAUGUUUUUUUCAAUUUUAACUUUUAAAUAUAUUUUUUAAAUUGAAAUAAUUAUAUUACAAAUUUUAUUCUUUAAAUAGUUUUAAAUUUAACCGUUUCUUUUAAUUUGUAUUUUUUCUUAACUUACAACUUUUAAAAUAACUACGUAUAAUAAAAUAUCACCUUUAACAUAAAUGUAAACCAUAUAUAAUAAAAUUAUUAAAUUUAUUUUUAUAGUAAUAAUGAUUUUAUUAUAAAAAAUAAACACACAUACUUUAGUGUGUAUACAUAUAUAUACACAUUUAAUUAUCAUCAUCACAAAUAUUAUUAACAUUGUAAGUUUUUUAAUGUUUAUUCUGAUUAUCAUUACUAUUAUAUAUGUUCCAUUAUUAAUGUAAUCGCAAUGUUUAAUAAUGCUACAUUAUAUAAAUAUACAUAUAUUAUGUGAAUAUACAUAUAUGAUAGAGAUUUUUUUUCACUAAUUUAUCUUGAAACUAAACUUUGAUUUAACUUUUUUUUUUAAACCAACAACUAAAAUGAUCGUAGACUUUACUUUUGGUUAUUUUAUUAUUGAUUUAAACGUUUUUCUUGAAUUGGAUUAGUUUAUGGACAUCUGCAUGGUAAAUUGUGCAGUUUUUAUGUUAUCUAUCUUAAAAAAAUAUAUUGAUUUGUACUUAAUGUAAGAGUAAUUGCUUUUCCAAAAAUGAUACUUAAAAUUUAAACUCUAAAAUAAUAUAAAAACAGGAGACAAGAUUCCGGAGGAGCGGAUCGGCACGAAUAUCGGUUUUCUCAUUCUGUGGCAAAACAAACCGGUCCGGGUAGGUACCUUUUACCGCCGAAACCGGAUCUAUUUCAAGCGAAGCCAACUCAACCGGAUCCCUCUCUCUAUGCCCUAACCGGUCUGUCCGGUCACAUUUCCACGGUUCUUUUCUCUUCUCACUCUUGGGGUCGGUUCAUUCUCUCUUCCUAUUCCCCUCUUCUCCUCCAAUAAUUAAAAAAAAAGCGAUUCAUCAAACCGGGUAUGCAUUUUUUUCCCACUCUCUAUUUGGUUCUUCAAUUUCCGUUUUUUUUUUUUCCAUCUAAACCAGACCCGGAAGCGUUAAGGAAUUGAUUUUGAAAUGGAUUGCAUCUUUGUAACAAUUUGGCUCUGUGGAAAGUAAACACCGAUUUGGGUCAUGAGAAAGUGGUUGUUUUUGUUGCAUCACACUAAUAUGGCUGUUAUGUUAUUAUUAAUCUCUGAAAUGGUGGCUGUGAUUAUAGGGAAAAAUGGGUUCGAAUCUGGAACCGGUGCCAAUUACAUCCCAGAAACAUGACCCGGCAUGGAAACAUGUUCAGAUGUUUAAGAAUGGGGACAAGGUGCAACUGAAGUGCAUAUAUUGUCUGAAGAUGUUCAAGGGUGGUGGGAUUCAUAGGAUUAAGGAACACCUUGCUUGCCAGAAAGGGAAUGCAUCCACUUGCAGCCGUGUCCCCCAUGAUGUCAGGCUUCACAUGCAGCAGAGUUUGGAUGGGGUUGUGGUGAAGAAGAGGAGGAAGCAGAAGAUCGAGGAGGAGAUUAUGAAUGUUAAUCCUUUGUCCACUGUUGUGAACUCGCUUCCCAAUAAUAACCAGGUUGAUGUCAAUCAGGGGGUGCUUGCCAUUGGAGUGGACCACAAUUCAAGUUUUGUAGUGAAUCCUGGAGAAGGAAUGAGUAAGAAUAUGGAAAGGAGGAAGAAGAUGAGAGCUAGUAAGAAUCCUGCAGCAAUUUAUGCAAACUCGGAGGGUGUUGUUGCUGUGGAGAAGAACGGACUGUUUCCCAAAAGAGGGGACAAUCACAUUCAUAUGGCGAUUGGUAGGUUUUUGUAUGACAUUGGUGCACCUUUUGAUGCGGUGAACUCAGUCUAUUUUCAUGAAAUGGUUGAUGCAAUUGCUUCAAGGGGUGCGGGUUUCGAACGGCCCUCGCAUCAUGAACUUCGGGGUUGGAUCCUGAAGAACUCUGUGGAGGAAGUGAAGAAUGAUAUAGAUAGAUGCAAGAUGACUUGGGGGAGGACUGGCUGUUCCAUUUUGGUUGAUCAAUGGACAACAGAAUCUGGGAGAGUACUGACGAGCUUUUUGGCUUAUUGUCCUGAAGGCAUUGUCUUUUUGAAAUCUUUGGAUGCAACUGAGAUUUCAACUUCUGCAGAUUUUCUGUAUGACAUGAUAAAACAAGUGGUAGAUGAAGUUGGAGUCGGGCAAGUGCUGCAAGUGAUUACGUCUGGUGAAGAACAAUAUGCUAUUGCUGGUAGACGGCUGACAGACACUUUUCCCACCCUUUAUUGGAGCCCUUCUGCUGCUCGUUGCAUUGAUUUCAUUCUUGAAGAUUUUGGAAAUCUUGAGUGGAUUAGUGCAGUCAUUGAACAAGCUAAAUCUGUAACAAGAUUUGUGUACAAUUACAGUGCAAUUUUAGUUAUGGUUAAAAGGUAUACCUUAGGGAAUGAUAUUGUGGAUCCAUCUUUUUCACAAUUUGCUACGAACUUUUCCACAUUGAAACGGAUGGUUGAUCUUAAACACAAUUUACAGGCCUUGGUGACUUCUCAGGAGUGGGCAGACUGCCCAUAUUCGAAGAAAUCAGCAGGGCUUGAAAUGUUAGAUUGUCUAAGCAGUCAAACAUUUUGGUCCUCGUGUGACAUGAUUGUUCGUCUAACAACCCCUCUCUUAAAAGUUCUGAGAAUAGCUAGUAGUGAGAUGAGACCUGCAAUGGGAUACAUUUAUGCUGGAAUGUACCGGGCAAAAGAAGCAAUUAAAAAGGCACUUGGUAAGAGGGAGGAGUAUAUGGUGUACUGGAAUAUUAUACAUCAUAGAUGGGAAAGGCUGUGGCAUCAUCCUCUUCAUUCUGCUGGAUUCUACCUUAAUCCAAAGUUCUUUUAUAGUAUUCAAGGAGAUAUACACAGUCAGAUUGUCUCAGGAAUGUUUGACUGCAUAGAGAGAUUGGUACCUGAUACAAGAAUCCAAGAUAAAAUUAUCAAAGAGAUAAAUUUGUACAAGUCUGCUGCGGGCGACUUUGGGAGAAAGAUGGCAGUUAGAGCAAGAGAUAAUCUGCUUCCUUGUAAGAGUAGUAUACACAUAUGUUAUAUUAUGAUUCAACUUUCCUAAGUUUAAGUAACUUAAUUGAAAAAUGAAUUAGAAUCUAUUCAAGUUGAAAGCAGUAGUAGUACAAGAAUGCUGAUGUCAAAACUGAUAAGAUGGAGGAUAACAAAAUUUAAAUUUGUGUCAAGGCUUUAUGCUUUGGCAUGAUGACCAAUCCUGUAGAAGUUGAAGUUUGUCUGAAAGUUCUCCACAAACUACUUAUAGUUUAAGAAACACUGCCAGCGUAGUUCUUCUGAAAUAUUUCUCUAUGAAAUGUAUCUGGAAUUUGACUGUUGGGUUCUAUUUGACUUAUAUGCUUGAUAAUUUAAAUUUUCUGUACACAAGACUUAGAUAUGCUAUUUUUCUAGCUGAAUGGUGGUCAACAUAUGGAGGAGGCUGCCCAAACUUAUCACGAUUAGCAAUUCGUAUUCUCAGCCAAACAUCCAGUAUGAUGUCCUGGAAGAGAAACCAGAUUCCUUUUGAACAAAUAGUCAACACAAGGAAUUACAUAGAGCGCCAACACCUUACCGAUCUUGUCUUUGUUCACUGCAAUUUACGGUUAAGACAAAUGUGAGCUUAAACUGUUGUACAUUGAAUAUUGAUAGUUUGUUUUAAUGCAGUUGCCAAUUGAAGAGAAUUAUUAUUCUGUUUAACUUUUCUUUCAGGUUUGUGAGCAAAGACCAUGAUUUUAGUGACCCUUUAUCAUUUGACAGCAUUAGUUAUGUUGAUGAGUGGAUUAGGCCAAGGGAUUUAUACACAGACGAGUAUGGGAACUCAGAUUGGAUGACACUGGAUCCAUCGUCAGUUAACACUAUGCUUUUAAGGCCUUUAAAUGAUGAAGCUGAAGAAUUGGGUGAAGGUAAACUACAUGUGCUUAGGAUUUGUUUGGACAAGUCUCUCAUUAAACACUUCUAGUAAAGUAAAAUAAGAAGAAACAAUUAAAUCAACAUAUCUGUGAGUUGUUUGUAGCUUAUAAAGAAUUUAACUUCAUUUUGUUAUUUUUAUUUCCUAAAGUAUUUAUAAAAUAUUUUGCUGUAGAAAGUUAUAUUAACGAACAUGUUUUCAACUGAUUGUAGGGUUUGAUGAUGAUGAAAUUUUCAGUUGUGGGAAAGAUAGCGAGGAUGAAAACACUGUUGAAAAGUUGGUAAAUCAAUAGCAAAUGAUCAGAGAGAAUAACCAUGGAUUUGUUUGUUGAUUAGUGCUAAUAGCUUCCCACAUUAUUGCCUAAUUCAGAAAAGGUGUUUCCAUUGUUUCCAAGUUUUUGUUUGUGGAAAUUACUGUUGGAAGAAGAUGGAAGGAGAUUGAGGAGGUGCUCGGUGAACAAGUGAAGUGCAUCCAGCAUCCUAUUUUAUUGUUAGAUAUAGAUACAUACAUACAUAUAUAUAUAUAUAUAUAUAUAUAUAUAUAUAUAUGAAUUGGCAUGAUUUGCUAUGUUCUUGUACAGUAGUUAGUUGCAUUACAUCUCCUGUAUUGAAUAGUUUUGCUGUUUUUUUUGCACUUCUAGAGUGUACAGCUAUUGCAAACUGAAGUAAAUGAAAAGGAAAUCGACCGAUAGAAUCUGCGAUUUUCAUUUUUGGCUAAGAUAUGCCUUUUAUGAAUUACUGUAAUACAUUAUCACAAUUAAACAAGCUCGUGAGUAUUUUCACUUGAAUAAUUUCUUACUCACAUACUGGGUUUAUGUUUUAAUUUAUUUUGAGUAAAUUAUCAUCUUAAAAGUGAAAAUAAUACUUUUUAUUUUACCCUUGUUUUUAAAUACUUUAUUAAAUGAAAUAAUUUAAUAUAAUUUAUACUAUAAUUUUAAUAAGUUAUGUUACAAAAAUUGAUUUUGGAUAAGUUUGAUGAUUAUUUAUCAGUAAGUUAACGAUGCAUUUUAAGUUAUCUGUGAUGUAUACUUUAAUAAGAAAAUUAUACAAUUAUAAUAAUGUGUAAUUUUUAUUUUCUUACUUUGAGAAUAAAGCAUUUAUUAUUUAUUCUGAUAAAUUGUCAAAUAAUAAAUAAUUUAAAUUUCAUAUAUAAAUAAAAUAAAAAUUAAGUUCGCUUCCGGAUCAUAAGUACUUAAUAAAACUUGUCUUUUUAAAGUUCGGAUAAUUUUUUUCAUAAAUAUUUUUAAAAAUUAUUUUUUAUAAAAAAUAAUUAAGUUAUACCCGAAUUAAAAAUGAUUUUUGUAAACGUUAGUAUGGUUAAGAAGUAUGUUUUAAUAAACAAAUUAUUUCUAUAAAAAGAAGAAGAGUAAUUAAUACGAGAAUACAUUGAAAAUAAUAAUUUGUUAAAAAAUUUAAAAUUAUCGCUGUAAUAGAAAAAGCAAUUUUUAUUGAUAAAUAAAUUAUUUUAAUUUAUUAUUAUACUUAUUUAAUAUUUCUUCCAAAUUAUUUUUCUAAGAAGUGUUGGAAGUUUAGUCUUAACAAAUAAACAAACAAAUUUCAUUCAAUACAGAAAUUUAAAUUAAAAAUCUCACGUUAAUUUAGAGGAAAAAUAAAAAGACAAUUAUUCUAGUCAAUAGUCAGAGAAGAGAAUCUUUUGACCCUUUUGACCCUUUAAUUCCAACUAUUGCAAGUUGGUCAUUAUAUGGUUUCUUUUGUCCUUUACCGGCCACCGGAAAGUGAAAGAGACGACGCCACGUCAUCACCCACCGACGACCACGGCGAAUACGAAUGUAACUCCUCGUAGUAGCCACCACCACCAUCUUUUUUCCCGUAAACCACCGGCGGAGGCGGCGCCACCUCCCUCUCCAAAUACCUCACCACCUGCCUCAUGCUGGGCCUCUUCUCUGGUGCCUCCGCGGAACACAACAACCCCACUUUAAUCACCAUCAAAACUUCCACCUCAUCAAACGCGCCACCCAACCUGGGGUCCACCACCGCCAGCGGCGCCCCCAUGCGCCACCGCUCCCAGACCCAGUCCACCAGCACCAGCUCCUCCGGCAAUGCCUUCACCUCAAUGGGCCUCCUCCCGCACACCACCUCCAACAACAACGCUCCGAAAGCGUAAACAUCAGAACUGGUGGUGGGUUUCCCCGUUCGUGUGAGUUCAGGUGCAAGGUACCCCAUCGUUCCGACCACACGUGUGGUGCUAGGGUUGGCACCAUGCUCGUAAAGCUUGGCCAACCCAAAAUCCCCCAACCUCCCAUUCAUGUCACUAUCCAACAAAACGUUCCCCGCUUUGACGUCUCUGUGAAUCACUGUUUGUUCCCACUCCUCAUGCAAAUACACCAACCCCAAACCCACUCCCUUUAUUAUCUUAAACCUUUCCUCCCACGUUAGUAUUUUCCUCGCUUGAUCGAACAAGUAUCUGUCCAAGCUUCCAUUUCUCAUGAAAUCGUACACAAGUAAAAGGUCGUUUUGUUUCCGACACCAACCCAGUAGCUGUACCAGAUUUCUGUGUCGGAGUCUUCCUAUGGUUGAUACUUCUGACACAAAUUCCUGCAUACGUUGUUUCGAUUCGUGCGAGAUUCGCUUCACGGCGAUUUCCAUCUGGGACUUCGGGAGAACCCCUUUGUAGACGCGACCGGACCCUCCGAACCCGAGGAGGUUCUUGUCUUUGAAACCCUUCGUGGCUUUGUGUAGCUCUUUGUAUGGGAAUCUGUGUGGCCCAACAACGUCCCUCUCCCAAGCUUCGAUUACUUCGGCGUUCUUCAUACAUCUGAAUAUGUAACACGCCAGAGAAAUUGUGGCGAGUGUUAGAAUCAAUAAAAGGGAGAGUCCUAAUUUUAAGCGCUUUUGAGUUUUGUUGGAGGCAGAGAGAGAUGGGAGCUUGUGCAGUGAAAGGGUUUUGGCCUCUCCGUUUAUUUUGAAGCUCCAACCCAAAAUAUAGUGUGUGCUUGCGAGUAACCCUGUCGAAGAAGAGAACCCCACGUACAUGGAAUCUUGGAGAAUUGGUGACAGAUCUACUUUAUAUUUUAAAAUUGGGGAAGUGGGUUUGGAGGAAGUUGGGGAGAGUCUAACCUCCAAUUGGUUCGUUGAUGAAUCAUAAUCAACCCAUGCUUGUGUCACUUUACCACUCUUCAAACUCAGGUUUUGCUUAUUGGUUGAAUCCUCAGGGAAAAACGCAGCUUCAACAGAUUUGUUGGAUACCAUGUUGUUGAGGUUGACACCAACAUGGUUGUCAUUGAUGUCCUCGAACUCGAAGUCUUGGACGGUAUCGAACUCCACUGCGAAAAGGUGGUUUGAGAAAUUCCCCAAUUCUUUUGGGUUGAGGAGGCCCAAAUACUGACUCGGGUAUGCGGCCGACAGCGACCUGGAGCGCGAAAUGGUGAAGGCAAAACCGUGCCCACCGAGUUUUGGGUACUGAGGGAUGAUUGCAAACGCAAAAGCAGUGGAAAAGGACAGCAGUUUUGGGUCGGUGGAAGAGCUUUUGUUGUUGUGCUUGAACUGAAUUGGGGUUGGAUAAAACGCGUGCCCAAUUACUCUCUGAGUGUUGUUUGUUAAACGAAGCAAGCCCUUGUGCUCAAUCACUGCUCCUCCGUUUAAGGCGAUGUUGGUGGCAGAAGCACCAUCAAAUCCGUUGAAGAGAAACUCUUGACACUUUGCAGUGUUUGUGACCAGAAGAAGGGUCAAAACACAGAGAGGAAGCACAAGCAGAAAUGUUCUGGUUUUGGCCAUCACGAGGCAGAGCAACCAAAAAAACUGUACACACAUGUUACAUAUUUCAUAUUCUUUGUAUAAAUCAUUAUGUAAACUCAAAUUAAUAGUGCGUUCUGCUGUGAUGUACUAUUCAAGAGUGUGUGGAUUGUAAACUGAAACGUGGUUAUUACUUGUUUGAUUGAUUUCUCUCACAUGUUUGGUGUUUACCACAGAUUGUGACUUAACACAGCUUUACCAUUUUGAAUAUCAUCAUCGCCCACUUCCACUUCCUUUUUUUUUCUGUAUCAGCUUUAUACAAUUUAUUUUAUGUGUUGGUAUCUCCUCUUAUGGUCCCUUUCUCAUAAAAUGUGUUAUCCACCAUGAAUUUCUUUUUAAGUAGUCUAGCUGAACGUGUAUAGCAUGUGAAUAUUUGAUGUCAAUUGUUUUUCUUUACAACUUCCGUUGAUCAGAACUUUAUCUCUUGGUUUCCUUAAUUUUAAAUUAUAGUGAUAUUGAAUAAUAUAAAAGAAAGUUGGUUAGCUUAUCAUGAUUUAUAAUUUGAUAUGCAGGAGUUUGAUUCUGGAUUAUAUAUGUUUCAGAAUAUUAGAUAUAAUUAAACAUGGAGCAUCUCCAACUCAGCAAAGAAAGCUGUCAUUUUCGGGGGCUUGUCUUCUGGUGUAAGCGACACCAUGAAAGUCAGAACAUGCAGGUAACAUAACAAAAUAGGAUAAAGAUACUUAGGCAACAUUUUUUGACAACAUUUGAACAUCAUCAUACGUGUCAUUGUGUGAUUGGUUCAUGAUAGUGUCAUUGUGUCAUUUGGACCAAUCACACAAUGACAUGUAUGAUUGAUGUUCAAAUGUUGUCAAAAAAUGUUGUCUAUGUAUCAUUACCCAACAAAAUAAUAGAGUGGUGUACUUAGGUUUGGCUUUACACCAAUUUUACUUGCUUGCCAAAUUGGGAAACCGACUUAUAGGUGAUAUAUCUGUGGGUUGGAGUUGAAGUACAAACAGGUCAACAUUGAUAUGGUAAUUACAUGUUCUUUCAAAAGGUUUGAGAUUAUCAAAUUUAAAUGGAAUUACUCAUUUAUGAGGGUGAAGUUGUGUUCUGAUUUAAGAUUUGGGUUAAAUAUGUUUUUAAUCUCUAUACUUUGAGGCGAUUUUAGUUUUAGUCCAUUUUCAAAGUAUGGUACAAUUUAGUCCUUCAACUUUAGAAAACUCUGGUUUUAAUUUUUUUUACCAAAUUUUUUAACUUUAUUUGUUGUUCCAAGCACGUUUCUCACUUAACAUUGAAGCAAAAAUGUGUCAAACAGUGUAAACAAUCCAAAUGCUAUAAUAAAACGUGUUUGAAACAACAAAUAAAGUUAAAAAAAUUUGAUAAAAAGGACUAAAACCAGAAUUUUCUAAAGUUGAAGGACUAAAUUGUACCAUAAUUUGAAAAUGGACUAAAACCAAAAUCGCCUCAAAGUAUAGGGACUAAAAACAUAUUUAACCCUUAAUAUUUCAAUUAUUAAUUUUUUGGAGUAUUUAGUACAAUUGUAUAUCCAAAAGAUUUGAACAAUUCUGGACAAGAUAGUUUAUGCAUUUUUCAUAUUAAUUAGUUUAUAAGCUUAGUGAUAUUAUAAAUCAUAUUUUAUCUUUUAAGGUAUACUUUUCACUUUAAAAAGCCAGAUGUUUUGAAUUUAUCUGAUACAGAAAAGAUAUAUAACACAAAAUGAACUAAAAGUCGAAGCUGUAUAAAAAAACUAAUUUCUGGGUUUUUUUAAGUUGAUUUAAUUCAAAUCAAUCAAAUUUAGUUCUAAUAGUCAUACCAAUAUGCACAUUUUUUUUUCAUGAAUUAACUUAAAAGAGUAAACUCAUAUUACUUGUUUUUAUAAAGAUGUGUGUUGGUAAAAUUACAGUUGCAUGUAAUUAUGAAAAGCAUCUUUUAAUGUGUACUGUACCAAUCCAAAUUCCUACCCAGAUAUAAUUGUGUCAAAUUGCACGUCUUGUCUAUUCGUGGCAAAUUUGACUACCUCCACCCAAACUUUAGUGCUUGCUCUAAUGCUCCUUCACGUCAUAAGUGAAAUAGAGAAAAAGAGUAAAACUUAAAAAUGGAGAAUAAAAAUAAAAUUUGUAAAAAUUGUUUAAAUGGAGAGAAAAAAGAAAAAAGAAAAUAAAUUGUCUCUCACUUAUGUAUCAAAAUAUUCGUACAUUAAUUAAAAAUUAGUUUAAACCCAAAUAUUUAUUUUAUUAUUUUCUCUUAUCAUUAAAAUAUAUAUUAAUUUUCAAUUUAUAAUGUAUAAUGUGAUUAAACCUUUUAAACAAAAUAUGAAGAAAAAAAUAUACCAAUCACCCCUCCUUGUUACAUGGCAAUUGAAAGGAAGGAGAGAUUUUUAUGAAUCCCGAAAAUACCGUUUUGUUUUACAUUUCUCAUCCCAAACAAAAAGUGAAUACUUCAAUAAAAUUUGUCUACCUUUCCAUUUCUUUUUCCUCUAAUUGCAUAGACACAGAUAAUGAGAAAGUCACACAUCACUAGUGCUCUUUACUAUUCUCUGGCUCUUGGAAAAGCUGUCUCAUCUAGCCAAGAUUUACAUGCACAUAAUCUAUAUAGCCUAGCCUCCACCCUACUCAUUUAUGCAUGAAAUUUCUUGUUGCUUUGUGGCAACUUAGAAUUUAUACCUUUUUAGAUAUUUCCUCACCAUUUGUAGAAGAGAAAAACAUUAGAGUUUGAUUAUAUUAUAACAGAAUUAUCAAUUAAUUUUAUAUGAAAAACAUUAUAAAACCAUCAUUAUAUAGGUUUCUCAAACAACAAAGUCUUGUUCCUAUUCAUGACUAUCUCCUCCUAUCCUCUUUUAGAGGAAUGAUAUUAAGACAUCUCUUCCUUUUACAAGUAUAGCUAACACAUUAUUUUUCUUCUGUUCUUUUUUUCAUACCUACUAUACCCCACUUUUGUACUUACAUUUUUCUCUCAUUCUCGUAAGUAAUAGGAUUUUGGGUGUCAAACAUUUAUUUUGUAAAUUUAGUAUCCACAAUUUAUUUGUUUGCACGUGGACCUUGUUAGCAUAGAGAGAUGUACGUAGGUGAUUGUGCAUGACCUGUGAAUAGUAUUUACACAGAUCAGACCCUUUUUUUUUCUGCUUUGAUUUUUUGACUUUAAAAUUCAAAGUAAUAUAGCAGCAUAGUAGAAAGAUGCUUGAUUUUUUCACGAGCUUGAUGUUCUCUUAUUAAUUUCUUCACCCGACUAAUGUUUUAGAAUUUUGUUUAAAAGGGUUUUUUUCUUGAAGGACAAAAUUUACAGCACUCUCAUUGCCUUUGUUAUAUACUUCUGCAUCAACUGUGCUCAUUUUUCAAAUGAUUCUUUUCGGCAGUGUCAAUAUUUUUCCAAACUUAAUCACUUUCUGGAAACGAUGUUUGGUAUUCAUGAUCAAGGUGCUUUAUAUUUGAAGGGUAUACAAGAAAUAAUAUAUAUCAAUGUUUUUCUUUUCCUUUGAAUGUUGCAAUUGUUAAUGUUUAUGAUUUGUGACGUUUUUUUAACAGUUUAUUAUCUGAACUCGAUCUCUCUCCAAGUUUUUCAAAGCCUCAGCACUUCGAAAACGAAGCUAUAGUGGCUAGAUAUGAAUGCACCUCAGACAAAAAUAAAAAUAAAAAUCGAGUAUAUAUGACAAAAGGAAAAGGCACCAGAUUCAUUAAGUGCAAACUGUAACCCAAAAUUAUAGAGAAGAGUCCAAUAAGAAACAUAUAGUAAAAUUAUUUCAAACUUAGCAUCUUCUCUUUGUACACAACACAUUGAGAAUGCUAAGAAUGUAAUACUCAAGUGCCAUCACAAUUGCUAGCACUUGGACCAUUGAACCAGUACAACCAUCAGUGACAGAAAUAUUUACUUGCCGGGUUGCUUUGCCUGCACAGAAACAAUGCAAGAAGAAUUUCAGAUCAAAGUGAGAUUUGAAGAUUGAGCCAAACAUUAUUGUUGCAAGUUUAAGGAAGAUUAAGCUUGAUGCAAACCUGCAAUCAUGUAUGCCGGUAAGUCUAUUUGAAGAAAGAUCCACUCUUAAUAGCAUCUUCGUUAGCAUUUCCAAGAGCAGCCUCAUUCAAGUACUUGUCAGCCAAUUGGACUCUCUUCACAUUUUCUUGUUCUUGGACAAGCAUGUUACCAUACUGCAAGAGCUUGUCCAGACUCAUCUUGGGCUGAUCAAAGGUAGGAGGUCCUUCCUUUGAGUUCACAAGCUUCUUCCCAAUAGCAUCAACACCAACACCAGAAAUCCACUUCCUCACUUCAUCAUCAUACACUCUGGCCCUCAGUGCACCAAAGAAAUCUGCAGCACAACAUGGGAUGGUAUAGCAUUAGUAUUUGUUAUCUUCUCUUUCUUGUUCUAACUUGUUCUGUACAAUAUUUCAAAACAAGGGUGAUAUUAUUGUGAUUAAUCAAAAUGCUCCUUGGUUUUAUCAUCUUCAAUGGAAUCAAAUUGUUCUUUCUUUAGCUCAUCUUUUGUUCUAUUUUAAAUACGAGUUUAAUGACUAGGCAUUCAUGGUGUAAAACAUUUUUAUACUAUCAAUUAAUCAGAAAUUGCAUUUUAUAUGACUUUUAAAAUAGUUAUUACUACGAAGAUUUAGCUCAUACGACAGGUUUAGUGAUUCGUUCAGUAACUAAAAAGUCAUGUUUAGCAUGAUUUGACUUCUGAUUAGUUAACUGUGUAAAUGUGUAACAUUGUUUAUAUAUAUUAUGUUGUGUGAUUUUAAAAUGUCACUCACCAAAUUCUUCUACCUUAGUGUUACAGUGUUUGGUUCUUAGUUCUUACCAAUAGAUUGGCCUGGGAAGGUGUCAACAAGCUUUGUAAUGUCCUCUUCAGGAACACCAUCGGUGCGGAAAAUUCCCUUGCAAACACCAACGCGGUCGUCCCUUGUUGGUGCCCAGUAGAACUUCUCCAUACGCCCAUCACGAAUGAGAGGAGCAUACAGCGUUGAGAAAUCGUUACCGGUGACAAUGAUGGGCACACGGGCGUUCUCUUCCUUGUUGUACAUACCAGGAAGCUGCACAUUUGUAGGGUUAUCAGCAAUGUUCAU